rnacentral:rRNA from 1 species
AUUGAACGCUGGCGGCAGGCCUAACACAUGCAAGUCGAGCGGAUGAAGGGAGCUUGCUCCUGGAUUCAGCGGCGGACGGGUGAGUAAUGCCUAGGAAUCUGCCUGGUAGUGGGGGAUAACGUCCGGAAACGGGCGCUAAUACCGCAUACGUCCUGAGGGAGAAAGUGGGGGAUCUUCGGACCUCACGCUAUGAGAUGAGCCUAGGUCGGAUUAGCUAGUUGGUGGGGUAAAGGCCUACCAAGGCGACGAUCCGUAACUGGUCUGAGAGGAUGAUCAGUCACACUGGAACUGAGACACGGUCCAGACUCCUACGGGAGGCAGCAGUGGGGAAUAUUGGACAAUGGGCGAAAGCCUGAUCCAGCCAUGCCGCGUGUGUGAAGAAGGUCUUCGGAUUGUAAAGCACUUUAAGUUGGGGGGAAGGGCAGUAAGUUAAUACCUUGCUGUUUUGACGUUACCAACAGAAUAAGCACCGGCUAACUUCGUG